AACGUGGAUAUGCGAAUUUAACGGGAGAACAUGCAUUCCAAGAAUCGGAGGCUUUUUCGAUCGAAAUUAUUGUUUGAUUCGUUUUUGCUUCACCUGGAUUUAUCUUCUUCUGAUUUGUUGAUCUGAAUUGGCCAAAGUUUUGUGAAGAGAGGAAGAAAUGGAGUACGAAGUGGAAGGGGAAGCGAAAUUGUGUCCCAAUCAAGGAAGUUCAGGGAUUUCCCUGCCGAGGAAUAGUGAUUGAAGCAUUAUAAAGCAUAAAGAUGCUAGUGGACGGAGCUUCUUCCAAUGCUGUUUCUACACAUUCAUUAGCCUAAGCUCUGGGUGCUAUAGCGAAAGUCUUCCUUCUCACUCGACUUCAACGAGUUGUUUCUAAUUCAUUCAAAUCUGAAGCUUUUUCCACAUCAAACUUAGGAAAGUACACUGUCGUGAGAGAAAGAGCUUCUGAUUACCGUACAAUCAAUAUCUUGUUAUCUCUAUGUAUACAAUAGCUACGAGCUACUAGAGAAAACUACGAGUAGCCACUCCACUUGAAUUCUAUCCAUACAAGAAGACCACACAUUCGAAUGAAAAACUUACCUCUUUUGUAUGCUCCACUUUACCUUCCUCGAUUGUAAAUAUUUGCUUUGGGGAAAAGUUAGAGAGAAAGAGGCAAGUGGGGGGGACAGGUUGUGAUAGGUUUAACAAGAGAACAGCUCAUAGAGAAUACUGUUUUACCAAUAUCAUCACAUUUACUUUGGCCCUUUUGAGUGGCUGAGUCAACUCUACAUAAUUAUAUAUUCAAAGAUGAAGGGUGAGAGGAACAGAGAGAGAGGUUAUAUCUAAGAUUAAAAGGUUUGGAGAAUCAAAGCUGAGCCUCCUUCCCUCCC